AAAAAAAACUCAAUCUUAUCUCUCUCGAUACCCAAACAUUCACGCGAACAAACCCUCAGCCUUCCUCUCACACCAAACUCGAUUGAUUCCUCUCACGCCAGCAACCUAAAAUCAACUCACCACCACCCGCUUCUCUCAGCCGUCCUCUCUCUCUCUCUCUCACUCUCAGCCUUCCUCUCUCUCUCUCUCACUCGUUCUCUCGAACUUGUCAAAUCGAAGCUUCUCUCUUGAACCCUAGCUCCAAAUCGAAGCUAUAAGGGGAACGAAUUGAAGCUUCUCUCCACUCUCACUAUUAUCGUCCUUUCUCUUUUUUCUCACCGGUCUCUGCUCUCACGAAUCGAAGCUUCUCUUUCUCUUUCACUAUUGUCGAACCUUCAUCGAUUCAGGGAUCCCUACUUAGAGUGUGUCAAUUCAGACCAUCAAAGUUUGUUGGCUUAGCUAUGAGCAAGGAGAUUAUAUAACUUGGUCUGUUUGGUUGAGAGAGAUCAAUGGUUGCUAUGGCCGGGCAGAAAGUAAUGCACUAUUGUCAUC